rnacentral:lncRNA from 1 species
AUACUUACCUACUUUGUCCUCUCUAGGUUUUUACAGCCUUAACUUCAUUCAAAGCAGGCCCCUGGUGUGGGCAAUGCAGAGGUUCUUUGCCUGAGGAGGGAUGAGGAGCUCAGAGAGCUCCAGCAACUUGCUCAAGAUUGCGCAGCAGGUUAAUGGCCAAGUUGGGACCAAGGAUCAAGACUACCGACUUCCAGUGCAGUGGGAGUCUCCUACAAACCAUGUCCAGGAUCAAAGCAGACGCUGAAGGGCAGAGGUUUUGUUUACCCUCUUCCCUUCAAUUACUGAGUCCCUAAACUCCCUCUUUAAUAAGGAAGUAACAGUGACCUAGUAUAUUUGAACUUGAGCAAGGCAGUGGACAAGCAGGUGCAUGAUAUUCCCAUGGUCAAGCAUGAUGGAAAACUGUGAGAUGGAUUCAAGGGCCGUCAGUAGAAGACUGGCACCCAAACAAUUUUGACUACCUGGGCUAGUCUCAAAC